rnacentral:pre_miRNA from 1 species
UCUUCGCAGGUCAGGUUGGCGACGCGUAUUCUUGGGGAAUUAACACACAUUUGCGAUGUUAUUGCUUGAGAAUACACGUAUUUGGCCUGGCCGGUCACGUC